UCAAAGUGUUGGCAAGGCUGUGCUCCUCA
rnacentral:piRNA from 1 species